CAGUAGCCGCGGUAAUACGGAGGGUGCAAGCGUUAAUCGGAAUUACUGGGCGUAAAGCGUGCGCAGGCGGUUCGUUAAGACAGAUGUGAAAUCCCCGGGCUUAACCUGGGAACUGCAUUUGUGACUGGCGAGCUAGAGUAUGGCAGAGGGGGGUAGAAUUCCACGUGUAGCAGUGAAAUGCGUAGAGAUGUGGAGGAAUACCGAUGGCGAAGGCAGCCCCCUGGGCCAAUACUGACGCUCAUGCACGAAAGCGUGGGGAGCAAACAGGAUUAGAUACCCCGGUAGUCCCUGUCUCUUAUAC
rnacentral:rRNA from 1 species